GAGGAUGACGAGGAGGAGGAGGAGGAGGAGGUGGACAUGAGUUCACUCACGGGGAUGCUGAGGUUUGUUAACCAGACGUUAGCCAUGCAGGAGGAUCCUUCUUUAUGGAGCUCCAAAGGGCUUUCACAGACCGGACGCAUGCUCACACUCCAGAGGGACGUGAAGGAGACAUGAAGCUGUGUGGCCAUUGAGGCGUCGGAGAAGAGAGGAGCUGUUUACAUUGGUGUCAUGCGUUUGUCAGGGUUCAUGCAAUAUGCAUUCCUUAACAUCUCGUCAUUCAGUCUGUCCUGUUGGUGUGUAUUAUUGAAAUCAAGCUGCAAUACUGUGUGUCAGGGAAAAGAUAAAUGAUGAGUUUAGAUCACCACUACUCUGUAAAUCAUCGACGGUGAUGUUGUUUCAUGCUGUAGAAAUGUAACAUUUCAUGUUGAAUCUUGCCCUAACCUAAUAUUUAUAUAUAUAUUCUGCACCAUUUUAAAUAAGUUAAGUGAAUAAAAGAUGUUUUUAUAGAA